rnacentral:lncRNA from 1 species
GAGGAAGCGCCUGCUUUUAUAUAGGGGCGCCCGGACCCCAGAGCAGGGCUAGUCCCUUAACCCAUUCCGCCAUCUAGCGUCCGCAGGGGCUCAUGGCAGGUUGGAGCCGGACAGUCUGGAAACUGCAAUCUAGAUUUUGCAGAAGGGUGACCUUUAGCCUUCUGCAAAACCUAGAUCUCACUUAAUGUAGAUCUCACUGAAGAAGGCAAAUAAAAAGCUGGAGUGCAGUGGUAUGAUCAUAGCUCACUGUUGCCUCAACAUCCUGGGCUCAAGCAAUCUUCCUGUCUCAGUUUCCCAAGUAGCUAGGACUACAGGAUGUCAAUACACCCUUCUCCACAAUCAGUAAGAUAGGAAGAUAAGGAAAGAGGGGAUGAGGAAAGGAAGACUCAUACUGUACUAAGCUUGCUGACCACAGGCAUGAGCUCCAAACACUGCCUGCCCGGACGGCUGGUACUCCCAGGAGAAGGGACUAUUCUAGCUGUGAUGACGCUCCUAACAGAACGAUUUUAGGAAUCUUACGGGAAAGGAGUGGGGUGUGCUCUGUGCGGGGGAGCUCACCACCAUUAGAGGUGUGCAUCUUGCCAGUGGAAGGAGUCCUGGACUGGCAGUUGUCUCCCGACUCUUCAUCUAGCUUCAUCUCUUGACUAAGUAUCACUUCCUCAGAUGUCCUCUCUGCCCCCAAUCUAAAUUAGCUCUCACCUGUCAUUCUCUCUUAUAAUUUCUUCUUUGCUCUUAUUAGCCUUUAUUCAACUUUCAAU